GAUGAAGAACGCAGCGAAAUGCGAUAAGUAAUGUGAAUUGCAGAAUUCAGUGAAUCAUCGAAUCUUUGAACGCACCUUGCGCUCCUUGGUAUUCCGAGGAGCAUGCCUGUUUGAGUGUCAUGAAAUUCUCAACCUUUUCAGCUUUCUUUGUUGAUCAGGCUUGGAUGUGGGAGUAUGCGGGCUUCUCAGAAGUCGGCUCUCCUGAAAUGCAUUAGCGGGACCUUUGUUGCCUGGCUUUGGUGUGAUAAUUAUCUACGCCAUUGUAGUCAAGCAGCUUAAAAUGAGGUUUCAGCUUCUAACCGUCUCCCCUGAGACAACUUUUUGACAAUUUGACCUCAAAUCAGGUAGGACUACCCGUUGAACUUAAGCAUAUCAAUAAGCGGAGGA
rnacentral:misc_RNA from 1 species